rnacentral:tRNA from 1 species
GGAAAUGUGGCUUAGUGGUAGAGUGCUUGCCUAGCAUGCAUGAAAUCCAGGGUUCCAUUCCCCAGUUUCU